rnacentral:rRNA from 1 species
AUUGAACGCUGGCGGCAGGCCUAACACAUGCAAGUCGAACGAGUGGCGGACGGGAGAGUAAUGUCUGGGAAACUGCCUGAUGGAGGGGGAUAACCACUGGAAACGGUAGCUAAUACCGCAUACCAUCAGAUGCGCCCAGAUGGGUUUAGCUUGUUGGUGGGGUAACGGCUCACCAAGGCGACGAUCCCCAGCUGGUCGGAGAGGAUGACCAGCCCCACUGGAACUGAGACACGGCCCAGACUCCUGCGGGAGGCAGCACUGGGGAAUGUUGCACAAUGGGCGCAACCCUGAUGCAGCCAUGCCGCGUGUAUGAAGAAGGCCUUCGGGUUGUAAAGUACUUUCAGCGUGGAGGCGGUGCCCGCAGAAGAAGCACCGGCUAACUCCGUGCCAGCAGCCGCGGUAAUUC